AAUCCAUGCAUCGGACAUUUCCAAAUUAACUCCUUAAAUCGUUCCCAAACUUCAUAUAACAUCUCAUCCUCCAUCUAUUGAAAAGCCGUAAUAUCAUUUCUCAACUU
rfam:Gossypium raimondii chromosome 8, whole genome shotgun sequence.